GUCGCCCUAACUCCAAUCUCAUGAUAUUUGGAGAUGGAACCUUUGGGAGGGGUCCUGGAACCUAUUUUGGUGGAUACUGAGGGAUGACUUCAUGCUGUUAUGGCAACCUGAGAUGACAGAGAAACAAAAUACAAAGAAGGAUCUAGGACUUGGUUUACAAAUCAUCCUGAUGAUAAAACCAGAGAGUCAGAGUGGUCAAGGCCAAGCAGGAGACCCAUACAUGGUUCCAUAAACUGUUAUUUCCUGAAGAGAA